UAAUAGGUGCCCCACAUUGAACUAAGUCUCAACUAAAGUCUCAACUUUCCAGAACAGUGGCACAGGGUAGGUAUUGGUGCCAUUUUCAAUUUGCAAGGGAGAAAAGAUUUACAUAAGUUGUUGUAAUUAUUCCAAGACCAAACAGUAAAUGACAAUGGAAUUUAAAUUCCCACCUCUGUUGGCUAGCAUCUGAGGUUCCAAUGACUCUUGUAUUUUGCUUUGCCUUCCACCCGCAGCCAAAAUUCUGUGUACCUGUAAUUACACUGAGAGUUAUAUUGAGGAUGGUUCUGUUGUGCUUUAUCAAGGUGCCUGAGGCCUAGAUGAAGAGAUUGGCAUGGAGUGCCUUGACUUGGCCCUUCACUUGUGCCGAGCCCUGGCUGCAAGUUCAGGGACUCUCCGCCCUCCACCUUCCCACCCAGCCUGUCCUGCUGUCCCUGGGACUCACUUUGUAGCUCAAGCUGGCCUCUAACUUGCGAUCCUCUUUCGUCAGCCUCCUGAAUGCUGGGUGUGUACCACCACGCCUACUUUAUGGUUACGUAUGUACAUGUCAAACAAAGUUAUAGAAGAUUAAGGUUCACUUUAUACACACAAAAACUGAAAUAGUUGGGCUCAUCCCUUAGCUUCCUCCCCACCAAAAAGGCUGCUGUGCUGUUUUUUGAGUGGCGGAAGUUACCUUGUGAGCAGAAAGAGCUGCUCUCCUCAGCAGUCUGGUGAGCCACGGUGUUUGUUUCCACAGGGGUUAUGCUAACCUCUGUGCCUGCUGAACAGAUGAGGACCUCCUUAGGUGCUGGAGCACUGUGUUGUACAGCGUUCCCUGCGGGAUGGUGCUCAUGCCGGCAUGAUCUCCCAAGCGAAAUCUGGGACAGAAGUCAUGACAGGAUUGUGAAGAAGGCCGACAGUGGACAGUGUAAAUGAGGAGAGAAUUUCCUCUUCAGGAGGAGUAAAGGCAGCAGGAAAUGGUUUUCUAACUCUGUUAGCAGAGUUUUAUAGCCAGGAAGAUUACAACCACUUUCUACCACCAUUCUCACCCUAAUGAGGCUCUGAACUGAC
ensembl:lncRNA